GACGAACGCUGGCGGCGUGCUUAACACAUGCAAGUCGAACGGAAAGGCCCUGCUUGCCGGGUACUCGAGUGGCGAACGGGUGAGUAACACGUGGGUGAUCUGCCCUGCACUUCGGGAUAAGCCUGGGAAACUGGGUCUAAUACCGGAUAGGAGCCAUUUUUAGUGUGAUGGUUGGAAAGUUUUUUCGGUGUAGGAUGAGCUCGCGGCCUAUCAGCUUGUUGGUGGGGUAAUGGCCUACCAAGGCGGCGACGGGUAGCCGGCCUGAGAGGGUGGACGGCCACAUUGGGACUGAGAUACGGCCCAGACUCCUACGGGAGGCAGCAGUGGGGAAUAUUGCACAAUGGGCGCAAGCCUGAUGCAGCGACGCCGCGUGGGGGAUGACGGCCUUCGGGUUGUAAACUCCUUUCGCUAGGGACGAAGCUUUUUGUGACGGUACCCAGAUAAGAAGCACCGGCUAACUACGUG
rnacentral:rRNA from 1 species